rnacentral:tRNA from 1 species
GGGUCGUUAGCUCAGUUGGUAGAGCAGCGGACUUUUAAUCCGUAGGUCGAAGGUUCGAGUCCUUCACGACCCACCA